ACAGAGCAACAGAAAACGGAAACACCUGUGCUCAAUUUGAGCAUACCAUGGCCCUUUCUCAUUUCAUCAAAUCCCCCUCCUCGACUCCUCGACUCCUCGGUCCUCCGGUAGUGACCCGGAAAUGAAUUUCAGCGCGCCAUGUUGAAGGACAUCUAGGCCCAUUCCCAAACCGCCCCCUACACCCUACCCCCCCGUUUGCACGUUCACGCGAAGGGUCCGCCAUAUUGAGGGCUGGUCCAAAGCAAUCAGGGAGGGGGCGUAGUGGGUUAUAAAAGCCUCCGACAGCGAGUUUGUAUGGAUGCAGGCUUGAUAAUCUCACUCCACAGGUGUGCAACCGUUUUUCGGGCAUGGAGGAAACAACGUCAUACAAAUGGACUGUGGUAAAAACCAAGGCACUUAUUGCUUUAAGGAUGGACAAGGACGACCUGUUCUGCAAAAAACGCAAUGCUGCCAAAGAAGCAUGGGAGUCAAUCAUUAAGGAACUGGACCUUGGGCAACAUGUGUCUCACAAACAGGCCUCCAAGAAAUAGGAGAACCUAAAAAAGAAAUACAAGGAACUUAAAAGGCCAAGGACUGGAACAGGGACUGAUCAGGGGGAAGAAACCCCUGCAACAUGGCCCUUCUUCAUGGCCAUGGAUGAGGCCAUAGGUGCAAGGCCUUCAAUUAGUCCUCCUGUCCUUGUUGCCUCAGCCUUGGCAAACCCCACAAUCCUCUUCGAUCCGGAGGCUGCUUCCUGCUCCUCUUCCU